GGGAGCGCCCGACUGUGCCUCCAUCCCGCUCCCCACAGCUCCAGCCUUGGCUCCCAGGGAGCGGCCGGCUGCGCUGCGCUCUGGACCCGGACCCAGCUUGGGGUACGGCCGGGGGCCCAGGAGACCCGACCCGCGCCCCGUGAUGGGCCCGGCGCAGGCGACCAAGACCGCACCCCGCGAGGGGCCCAGCAUAAGCGGCCCCGCCUGGCUCCGGCCCAGCAGCCUUCGGAGGGAAAGUUAUUGCUCAACCCUGAGGAAUGUGGAGCCAAAGCGGCGGCGGGAGGAAGCGGCGGGAGAUUACAGCGGCCGGGCAGGACCGCGCAGGGGCGGCGCGCUGCAGACUUCGCCCUAAUGUAAACAGCAGCUCGGGCCUGGGAAGCGGGGCCCGCCGAAGGCCCCAGUCCCGGCCCCCGGCCUGGGAGUGACAACCGCGAGGCCAGGCCGUGCAGCGAAGGCUGGGAAGGUCAACCCUAGGCUUCCUGCCUGCCGGGGCCGAUUUGGGAACAGCAGCAGAGGCAGGCCCAGCGUGGGAGGCACGAACCUCUGGCCGAAAACCCCCAGCCGGCAGGGAUUCUUGUGUGUUUUGUUCAUGGUCAGUCCGUGAGCCUGAACGGUGCCUUUUACAUAAAAGAAGACAAAAGGAGGGAGAAAAAUAUUUUCCAACUGGCAGUGCUGACAGCAUUUUGGAAGAGAAUCCAAGGAGGCAAAGAGAAGCUGUUUCAGCCUGAUUCUCCCUACUCCAGCACACUCUGCCACCCUGGCCUCCACCCUAAAUGGGAUAGAUCAGAUCAGAGCUUUUUACAGAAGAGGCGAAUGGAGCAUCCUCACAGGAAACCCCACCCAGAGUUUGUACUAGCUUUGUCCUUUCUGGCUCUCCCAGAGGACUGGCCCCCGAGCCACGGAGUCAUGGAUUCCAGCUAUAGGCUGACUCUGGUGUUAAUUAGAAGAACAGAGACACCUGGCAAAUCAAAAGCUAGCACUCCCUGCCUGGGAAACAUUAAGGAAAAACAGCCCAAGUGGCAGUGCCUCUCUUGGAAUUCCUCUUUUCUCGAAUCUCUCCUCUCCUCACACAAGGAGGAGAAGGGGAACUGGUUCUUGCUCAAAAUGGCCUCCAGCUCAGUUCUUAAUAUACUGUGGCACCGCGAAGGGAAAUUCCUAGAAUGAGCCAGUCUGGCCAUGUGUACAGUGGUUUCAACCGGGGAUGCUGCUGUCAGCCUGCUUGGGUUCAAAUCUUGGCUCUACCAUUUACUACUUGUUUGACAGGGACAAGUCACUUAGCCUUUCUGUGCCUUACUUCCCUCAACUGAAAAAUGGAAUAAUAAAAAUAAUAAAAGUU